CAGUCGCCGCGGGAACACGUAGGGUGCAAGCGUUAAUCGGAAUUACUGGGCGUAAAGCGUGCGCAGGCGGUUAUAUAAGUCAGAUGUGAAAUCCCCGGGCUCAACCUGGGAACUGCAUUUGAGACUGUAUGGCUAGAGUGUGUCAGAGGGGGGUAGAAUUCCACGUGUAGCAGUGAAAUGCGUAGAUAUGUGGAGGAAUACCGAUGGCGAAGGCAGCCCCCUGGGAUAACACUGACGCCCAUGCACGAAAGCGUGGGGAGCAAACAGGAUUAGAUACCCCCGUAGUCCCUGUCUCUUAUAC
rnacentral:rRNA from 1 species